UUUAGGGUAUGGUGUUUAGUUUUCUGUUUGUCAUAUAUGAUUUUUUUUUUCAUUUUCUUCUUGGACCUAUUUGCAAAGCUUUUCCCCUGUGUUUGUUUUUGCUUGAUGUGUUUUUUUGUGUGUUGAUUAGGGGAGCUUUUGAACUUUCAGAUAUUUGUGAAAGAUGUAUGGAAGGAGUACACGGGUGACCAUUGAAUGACAUGAAGGGUCAGUAUAAAUUCAUGAUUAAGCAUGUGCAGUUAUGGAAUGUGCUGACUUACAAUUUUUUAUCGACAAGGUUUUCAUUACAUACAUUCUAUUUAUUGAAGCAUGAGCCAAUAUUCUAUUCUAUUCCCCUAUAGUCAUUCAGAUUAGGACUAACUUUCUAUCAAUCUUUGUUUUGCAUAGCAUCACUUUGACUAUUGAAUACGGGGCAAACUUUGUGACACAUUAGAUUAAUAUUAUAUGAUUGACAUAAAUAGACAAUCAAAUGGGUGGGAACCCAUUAAAGAUGCCUUUUUAGAGAUGAUUUUGUCUAUCUACCAUGAAAUAUCUUUAGGUUUUUCUAAAAGCAUAUUAGUACAGUUUAGAACAUGUGGAUGAUACUAAAUAUUUUUAUAAAGCUCAUCAUGUACCAACCUAUUUUUUUUCUUGGAGUGAUUGGCACUAUAUUGGCUAAUAUAAGCAGAGAUAUGUUUCUGGACUAAUAGCUUUUCAAUUAGGAUUGGAAUUAAGUUUGUGUGAAAAGUUGAAGUUACAUGCUUUUUGAGUUUAUGUUUCUAGAUUGGCUAAUAAAUCAACAAUUUUUUUGGCCGAAAAAGGAAUUUGAAAUGAAGAAGGGAGCAACGAGCUAAGAAGAAGCAAGUGGAGUUUAAGAGGUUUCUCAACUUUCUGCUAAGCUUAAGGAGAAACAUACCAAAGAGCUAGUUGUAUAAGGCUAUAUCUGCAAUGAUGAGAGCUCUUCCACUUGAUUUUCUAAUGAUGAUAGCAAUGUCUUGCAUGCUUCCACCUGCUGAAUCUGCGCUACUCUUCAAGAGGCUUUGUGUACUACCAAAUGAGAUACAUCUCUAUUGAUGAUUGUAAGUGAAUUUUCUUGGAAGAUUGAGAUUCUUCAAGUGGGGAAGGUGCAGUAACAUGUGAAGCUUAAUCUCCAAUAGAUUGUUAGCACAUAACCUUAAAGAUUAAUCAUUUUUGGUUACUUAUUAAUUAUAGAGCAUUUACUACUCAUUGUAUAGGCUGGUGAAUGUGUUGUUUUUGUACUCACACUGAUGGAUUUGAUAACAUAACGAUGCUAGAAAACAAGAGUCAUGGACAUACACACAUAUUUAUUGGUUAUAGAAAAUGAAGUUUGGUGAUGUAGGUCAUACUCUACUAAUAAAAAAAUCCGCCAAGAUUGUGAUUUGGAGAUCUAAGCCAAUUCAAUGGAUGCGUUGUUGUUUAAUAUGUUGGCAAUUCCUUAUAUCUAAGAUUUGUGAUGUUG